rnacentral:lncRNA from 1 species
AUGGACGGCCCAGAUUGAAUCGCGAUGGACGGUCCAGAUUCACUCCCUGUUUAAUCGCAAUCGGACGGUCCAGAUCAAAAGUGAUGGACGGCCCAAAUCAAAAGCCGAUGGGUAUAACUAACCCCAUUCGCACCCAAACCCUAACCCUAGCCGUUGGGGAGCUGACCGUCGCCACCCGCCGCCGCACUGGAGCAAUUUUCGACCGCCAAACGAGGUAAAAAUUUCCCCUUUUGUACGAAAUUCAAUUUUAAACACACCCAUGGUCAAAUUGGAGUAAAAGAACCGGCUAAUUGGCUAGAAAAUGCCACUGAAGCUCGAAGAUGCCGCCGCGAAAAAUUUCGCAAAUCGCCUCCGAUGAGGCCCUUCCCAAUUCCCAUUUCGCGUAAUUUUUUCACCG